UGCAGUCGAACGAUGAAGCCCAGCUUGCUGGGUGGAUUAGUGGCGAACGGGUGAGUAACACGUGAGUAACCUGCCCCCGACUUUGGGAUAAGCCCGGGAAACUGGGUCUAAUACCGGAUAUGACUUUCCACCGCAUGGUGGGUUGUUGAAAGAUUUAUCGGUGGGGGAUGGACUCGCGGCCUAUCAGCUUGUUGGUGAGGUAAUGGCUCACCAAGGCGACGACGGGUAGCCGGCCUGAGAGGGUGACCGGCCACACUGGGACUGAGACACGGCCCAGACUCCUACGGGAGGCAGCAGUGGGGAAUAUUGCACAAUGGGCGGAAGCCUGAUGCAGCGACGCCGCGUGAGGGAUGACGGCCUUCGGGUUGUAAACCUCUUUCAGUAGGGAAGAAGCGAAAGUGACGGUACCUGCAGAAGAAGCGCCGGCUAACUACGUGCCAGCAGCCGCGGUAAUACGUAGGGCGCAAGCGUUAUCCGGAUUUAUUGGGCGUAAAGAGCUCGUAGGCGGUUUGUCGCGUCUGCCGUGAAAGUCCGAGGCUCAACCUCGGAUCUGCGGUGGGUACGGGCAGACUAGAGUGAUGUAGGGGAGACUGGAAUUCCUGGUGUAGCGGUGAAAUGCGCAGAUAUCAGGAGGAACACCGAUGGCGAAGGCAGGUCUCUGGGCAUUUACUGACGCUGAGGAGCGAAAGCAUGGGGAGCGAACAGGAUUAGAUACCCUGGUAGUCCAUGCCGUAAACGUUGGGCACUAGGUGUGGGGGACAUUCCACGUUUUCCGC
rnacentral:rRNA from 1 species